UCACUCUAACAGAUUACCAGCUUACCGAAGAGAUCUCCUACCCCGCCAACAGCCUGGACCAAUCGCUACAGGACCAACCGAGCAACGGCGGGUGAUGGCGCAGGCAGUAACUGCGAAGAAUCUGGCUGGACCACGGACUAUUUGAGGACGCGAACAAUCAAAAACAGCGCCUACCGACAAGGUCGCAUUUCACAUACAAACUUUAUGAAAACCACUUCUACAUACCUGGUUUUCAUAUAAUAAAAAUAGCGAUCUAAAGCUAGGCCGCAUUUUUCAUACAGAAUCUAUGACAGGAGCGGCUUUCUUAAGUGCGUUGCGCCAUUGAGAAGAUUUCAGUGGCUUAGUGACCUUCAUAUUAACAAUGUUAUUGAUUAAGAUUAUUGAAUUGUAAUGGAAUUUUGUCAAAUAACACAUAAUAAUGGAAUUUACCCGUAAAUAAGAUGUUUUUGUAAGAUCAAUAUCAAUUAAAAUAUCAUAUAUUUAAUCAAUAAUAUUGUAAGUAUGAUAGUUUUAGCGAAACGCUCGAAAUGACUUUUAAUUAUUGUCUUAAAUAUAAAAAUAUUAAUAUUUCGUUAAUACUUGUUCCGUUAACUUUUCGAACUAUUUUUGUAAUUGUUUUUAUCGAUCCGAUCCGAGUCGAGCCUUUGUAUAUUUUGUAAUAAUUUCUUAGCUUUACUCUUGUAAGUACGAAAUUAAUGUAGUAUUAAAAAAAAGAAAGUUUUAUUUUUAUGAUUCCAUACAUUAUGUGAUCUGCCGCAUAUGUGCGUUUCUUUAUGAUAAUUUUCCAGAACGUUCUAUUUAAGUUAGUUCAUGUAAAUAUACCUUUAGAGCGACUAUAUGUUUUAUGUAAUCUAAAUUUUGUAAAAAAAAUAAUCAAAAAAACUAUAUUCAGUGUAUUUUGCUGUUUUGUAUUCGGAAGUAUUACUCGACAAUAUUAUAUUGGAUCAUUAAAUUAUGAUUAGAUAAUUGUAAAUGCACAAAUUAUGAAUUUUUUGACUGUUAUGUAUGUCGCAGUAGAUAAACUAAAGUGCCCUACAACCCAGUACCUUGUAUAUGCCAUAUUUAGUAGUGAUAUACCAAGCAAGUUUAAAAACAUUCUAGGCAUCGCCUUUUUGAGUGUGAUAUUUAUUUAGCAGGGUUACUUUAUGAACACCUUUUACAAAACAUGAAUUGACGACAAGUCACCCUGUAUAAUUGUAACAGCUAAGAUCAUCCGUACAUAUUAAGUAUGAAAUUCCAUAUAGCAAGCGAUUUUAUAAAUGUAUACACUUAAUAUACGAAAAUAUAUAUUUUAUACGUAAGCUAGGCAUCCGAUCCCCUCCAUUUUCCGAAUAUUUGUAUGUUUGUAUGUUAUAUAAAGAGCUUUUAGGAUUUGAGAAUUAAUUGGAAUUGUACUUGCAUUCGAAUCAUUAUUGUAAGGUAAUUAACUAAUAAAAUACAUGAAUAAAAGUAAAAUAACAGGCCACGUUUGCAUUUCCAAGAUGGCUGCCGUCAGGCGAGCCCGCUUCAGCUUCACAACCGAAUAUAUAUUGUAAUACAUAGUUAGUGGUAUAAAUAAAUACCGUUACAUACAAAUGUA